rnacentral:rRNA from 1 species
CACGUAGGGCGCAAGCGUUGUCCGGAAUUAUUGGGCGUAAAGAGCUCGUAGGCGGUCUGUUGCGUCCGCUGUGAAAACUCGGGGCUUAACCCCGAGCCUGCAGUGGAUACGGGCAGACUAGAGGUAGGUAGGGGAGAAUGGAAUUCCCGGUGUAGCGGUGAAAUGCGCAGAUAUCGGGAGGAACACCGGUGGCGAAGGCGGUUCUCUGGGACGGUACUGACGCUGAGGAGCGAAAGCGUGGGGAGCGAACAGG